rnacentral:lncRNA from 1 species
UUGCAGGAUUUAGAGCUGAGAUUCAGAGAGAAGGAAAAAGCAAAAGAGUUGGAGUUAGAGACACUUCAGGCAUCCUAUGAAGACCUCAAGGCUCAGUCCCAGGAAGAAAUCAGACACCUGUGGUCCCAGCUCGAGUCUAUGAAAACCAACAGAGAGGAACAGAAUGGGUCAUGGGAGCCACUGCUGGCCCAGGCAUCUCAUCUGGAAGAGCUGCAGCACCUCAGGUCAGACUUCGCUCAGCAGCAGCAGCAGGAGAGAGCCCAGCACGAGUCCGAGCUGGAGCACCUGCGGGUCUAUUUUGAGAAGAAGUUGAACGAUGCUGAGAAGACAUACCAAGAAGACCUGACUGUGUUCCAACAACGGCUGCAGGAGGCAAGGGAGGAGUCCCUGGAGUCUGCAGAAAUCAG